rnacentral:rRNA from 1 species
CAAAAACAUCGCCUCUUGCAAAAUCAACAAAUAAGAGGUCCCGCCUGCCCUGUGACUAUAUGUUUAACGGCCGCGGUAUUUUGACCGUGCGAAGGUAGCGCAAUCACUUGUCUUUUAAAUGGAGACCUGUAUGAAUGGCACGACGAGGGCUUAACUGUCUCCUUUCCUAAGUCAAUGAAAUUGAUCUCUCCGUGCAGAAGCGGGGAUAGACCCAUAAGACGAGAAGACCCUAUGGAGCUUUAGACACUAAGACAGCUCAUGUUAACAACCCUCACAAAAGAGACUAAACUAGAUGACCCCUGUCCUAAUGUCUUUGGUUGGGGCGACCACGGGGUAACAAAAAACCCCCGCGCGGAACAGAAACACUGUUUCCAGAACCAAGAGCACCCGCUCUAAGUAACAAGACCCACUUGACCUUUAAGAUCCGGCAUAGCCGAUCAACGAACCGAGUUACCCUAGGGAUAACAGCGCAAUCUUCUUCGAGAGUUCAUAUCGACGAGAGGGUUUACGACCUCGAUGUUGGAUCAGGACAUCCUAAUGGUGCAGCCGCUAUUAAGGGUUCGUUUGUUCAACGAUUAAAGUCCUACGUGAUC